AUAUUAUUGCAAUUUAAAAUAGCUGUUUUCCAUAUGAAUAUAUUGUAAAAAGUAAUUUAUUCCUGUGAUGCAAAGCUGAAUAUUUUCUUCUUCUUUUUAUUUUAUUUUUUAAAAAUCUUUCUUGCCCUAAACAUUUGCAUUGUAGCUGAUUAUGGUUUCCACAAAAUAUUAAGCAGCAGAAAUUCAGCUUUGCAUCAAAGGAAUAAAUUAAAUUUUUAAAUAUAUUCAUAUAGAAGACUGUUAUUUUAUGUUGUAAUAAUAUUUCACAAUAUUACUGAUUUUACUGGAUUUUUUCAAAUCAAAUAAUUAAUCAGUGAGGUUAUUCCAAAGCAGAAAUUGUUUGUUGUCUUAAUUUUUUAUCACAAUGUAAUAACUUGCCCCACCUCUAAAAUGACUUUCUUGUUUGCUGACCUCAUCAAGGCCAUGUGGGUGGGGAAAAUAAUAGCAAGAAAAAGCCAAUUAACCAUUUAGUCAUUAGUUCAGGAGCCCUUAGUCAGCCUUUCUGAAAUCUAUAGUUUUUUAAUGAAGAUUAUGUCGAUAAUAACAAAUAAUGACGUACAGAAGAAACACAUCACAUUACUGAAGUGAAACUAGAUGUGAAUGUAAACUUGUAAGUGUUCUCUGCGUCUCUCUUAGUUUGAGUCAGUCAUAAUCACAGGUAUGUCAGUAUGCACCUGCAGAAGUGGCUUCAUUUCCCUCUGUGUUUCGGUGAGGCUACAGGAAUGGAAACAAGGCAGCUAGCGGUGUUUUGCGGAUCGUGUGUCAUUUGCAUGUUCGCCGUGUCCUGCGGAGGAGGUUUAACACAGCUGCAUGAUUCUGGAUGACAAUCACUUUUCAGAUGUGAGGACCUCAAAACGGGAGGUUUUUAGAGAGGCGUUACAGCUUUGAGCUUUAGUUUUUAAAACAUUUUUUGAGCUUGAAUCAAAUACCAAACACUAAAUGUGAUCGUACGUGAGAUGAUGUUCAUGCACGCUGUUGCAUUCUGUGCCACUUUUUUUCAAAUUUAAUGCUUUCACAAAUCUGCUUUUCAAAGCCUGAUCUGUUUCAAGUUACAAAUUUUUGUUACCUAUUUUGUUUCAUCAUUUUGCCAAUCAUAUUUUAAGAAUAUAAAGAAAAAAUAUGAAUGUUCCAAAGUGGUGUUGAUUCCUAAAUCAAAAUGUUCAGUAAUAUUUUUGGUGACUGUUUCAAACCAACAAUCGCUGCUGCUGUGUUUUAGGCAUCAUUUUAAAAACAUGCAACUGGUCCUAUUAGAAACAUAUUUUGUUGCAUGGUCUUUGAAUGAUGUGAUUUAGCAUUUGGAGAUCAUUGGCAUGUGAUCAGACUCUGUACAUCUUGUGCUCAUUGUUUUUGCCUUGUAUAUGGUGUGGUUUAGAUGAAUAUAUUUAUUAUGAUCAACUUUUGAAAGCCUUAAAUAUACUCCAAAAAUAAAAUACGUGUGCUGGUGUUUAUUAUUGCACUCUGCAUUACAUUUCUAGGGUUAUUAGUCUUUAACUGGUCAGAUUUUGUCCUUAUAUUGUUUUUAUGCAGUAGCAGUUUUAGAUAUUCCAUGUUAUUAGACUCACCUGUUCCUCUCCUUAAUGCAAACAUCUAAUCAGCCAAUCAGAUCAAUGCAUGAAGGCAAGACGCUCAGCUGUUAUUAAAUCAAAAGAAAUGGACUCUGUACAUAAAACGAAAGUGUGCUUCUGGGAUCUUCACCCUCAGAAGUCUCUAGAGUUUAGCAGAUGGAUGGUGUGAGAAAACAACAAGGUGUUGCAUGGCUGGACUGCAGCAGCUGAGAUCUUCUCAUUACUGUCAGCUUCCAGACUGAGUCCAUUGGGGCCGGACGUCCCAGAAUAAUCUGCUCCCAUCAAUUAGAGGAGACAGAUAUUGGGGGACCAAGCAUUAAACGUACAAAG